rnacentral:rRNA from 1 species
UUAUUGGAGAGUUUGAUCCUGGCUCAGGAUGAACGCUGGCGGCGUGCCUAAUACAUGCAAGUCGAGCGAAUGGAUUGAGAGCUUGCUCUCAAGAAGUUAGCGGCGGACGGGUGAGUAACACGUGGGUAACCUGCCCAUAAGACUGGGAUAACUCCGGGAAACCGGGGCUAAUACCGGAUAACAUUUUGAACUGCAUAGUUCGAAAUUGAAAGGCGGCUUCGGCU